rnacentral:rRNA from 1 species
GUCGAGGAUCUUUUGCAAUGCACGAAAGUGUGACAAAGCGACGCUGCGUGGAGGAUGAAGGCCUUCGGGUUGUAAACUCCUGUCGUCUGGGAACAAUGACGGGCGGGUGAAUAUCCCGUCUGAGUGAGAGUACCGGAAGAGGAAGCCACGGCAAACUCUGUGCCAGCAGCCGCGGUAAUACAGAGGUGGCGAGCGUUGUUCGGAUUUACUGGGCGUAAAGGGUGCGUAGGCGGUUCCGUGUGUCGAACGUGAAAUCCCACUGCUCAACGGUGGAAUGGCGUUCGAAACUACGGAGCUAGAGUGCAGGCAGGGAGAGCGGAAUUCCUGGUGUAGCGGUGAAAUGCGUUGAGAUCAGGAAGAACACCGGUGGCGAAGGCGGCUCUCUGGUAUGCAACUGACGCUGAGGCACGAAAGCUGGGGGAGCAAACAGGAUUAGAAACCCUAGUAGUCC